rnacentral:lncRNA from 1 species
GCCAAGAUGGUACUAAACCAGGUGCGUUGGGUACAGAUAAUACAAGAGCGGCACCGCUGAUAUUUUUAGCGUAGCAUUUAGGGGCCGAAGUCAUGAUUGGGAUCCCGCUGUGCUAGGCAUUGAUAGGUACUGUUGGUGACCCUGAACGGUGAAAGUGAACAUUCUGCCACUUCCCGUCACGACGGUGCCAGACCCGCGUUUCCUCUGACUGCAUUGUCUUUGGCAUCCCAGUUCCAUCCAUGUACUGCGUGAGCCGUAUAUAUGCAAUGCAAGCAGCAUCAUCACCCACAAGGUGGACGUGAGGAUUGAGGAUAAUGGUGUGGAUUGGCUUAUUACUUUUGGAUAAAGCAUUUUCAAAGUAAAACCGAUGGAAGUCCAUCCCUUCUACUAGAUUACCCAAAGCUUCAGGUUCAAAGGAUGUAAGGCCUGGAUCACAGAUUUUCGUGUAAGCUUCAAAGUCCCCAUUGUUGAUAGCUUCAAUCAACUGCUCAGUAACCUUGAUAAUCUCCUGCUUACGAGCUUUCACAUCUUCAUCUUCAAUGGUUGUAUUGGAACUCUCUGUGGACUCCUUAUUUCCAUCAGGGUUGUGGAUAACUGUAGUUUGGGGCUCCAGCGCAGGGGUAGGAAUAUUUUCCUUGGGGCUGGUUACCACGUUCGUUUUGUU